GGAAAUGUGCCUGAGUUUUAAGGAUCACUAUGAUAAAGUGGACACAGAGGACACCAACCCUCUCAUUUCCU
rnacentral:tRNA from 1 species